rnacentral:siRNA from 1 species
UAUACGGAAUAUUCUAGCUUUGC